UACGAAGGGGGCUAGCGUUGCUCGGAAUCACUGGGCGUAAAGCGCACGUAGGCGGAUUGUUAAGUCAGGGGUGAAAUCCUGGAGCUCAACUCCAGAACUGCCUUUGAUACUGAGGAUCUUGAGUUCGGGAGAGGUAAGUGGAACUGCGAGUGUAGAGGUGAAAUUCGUAGAUAUUGGGAGGAACACCAGUGGCGAAGGCGGCUCACUGGACCGGUACUGACGCUGAUGCGCGAAAGCGUGGGGAGCAAACAGG
rnacentral:rRNA from 1 species